AUUUAGUUUGAUUUUAUAUUUUUUUUAUUCGGUGUUCGAUAUUUAAUUUUAGGAUUAAUGCAUGCACAAUUGAGAGACACGGGUGGUGCAUGGCCGUCGUCAGCUCGGGCCGUAAGGUUCAGGGUUAAGUCCAGCAACGUGCGAAACCCUCGUGUUUAGUUGUCAUCGUUGAGUUUGGAACCUUGAACAGACUGCUGGUGAUAAGUCGGAGGAAAGUGAGGAUGACGCCAAGUCAUCAUGCCGCCCCUUAUGCCCUGGGCAACAUACGU
rnacentral:ncRNA from 1 species